GAAAAGAUUUCAUGCUGGUUCAAGUGGGCAAAGUGUAUUGGCAUAUAAAGGCUCUGAGGAGUGGCUGUGAAGAUUCUAUUUAUUCCAUUGGUACCUGCUACUGUAGGAUUUACUAUAUGAGAAUAUAUAUAUAUAUAUAUAUAUAUAUAUAUAUAUAUACAUACAGAUGCUACAUAGUUAGGGGCCUCUCUUGCUGCUGUUAGCUUCGAGGCCCUGUUUUCGUGGUUAGGUUAGGAUAAGCCUGUGUAAAGUUAUGGUCAUGUUAGAGGAUACGUUCUACGAGCUAUGCUAUGUAAAGU
rnacentral:lncRNA from 1 species